CCCGUAAAUAUAUUGACUCCCGAUACUCCGAUCGAUACGCAUGAUUCCUACGAAUAUUUACGGAAUAACGACAGAACACCCACGAUUGAAUUAGUCUUUGUCUAUUGGUCGCUAGAAAAUCUACGUUUAUUCGAUUUAUUAAUUCGUACCAAGUUUUUGGGAUUUCAACGUAAAUUUUCAUAUUAAACAGUUGUGUUACGUUACAUAUGGUAUUGAUCAGUGUGAAAAACUGUUACCCUAAAUGGGAUUUGAAUUGCACCAAAGUAAAAGAUCUAAAAUAAAUCUGGUUAAACAAAAACAAAGCUCAAGGCCCUAGCAAAAACUAUAUAUUUACUGGUAUUCAUUGAUUUUGAGAGAACCCUCCUUCUAUAAAAGAGGGUUCUGGGUUCUGGUGUAAAAUUCUAGCAUUGGGUCAUAGGUUUUCCAAGCCAUUUGAAUCUAGAAUUUUUAUUAUACAAUC